rnacentral:lncRNA from 1 species
UUGUGGUUGGCCUUCCAGGUUUCGGAGCACCACUGAUCUACCAAGGCUUCCUAACAAUCCAUCUUAUCCACACACCAUCUCUGGGGAACCUAAGUUAAUAAAGAGAAAUUUGAGUGCAUAAGAACCAAAUCAAGGAAACUAACUACAAAGCCUUAAUAAUAUGUAAUUACCUUCAUGUAAUGCUCCUUCUCCAUCUUAGCAUCACGGCACUUUGCCUUGUCAAUCCUAAUACACUGCAUGGCAUAGUAGUCUCNNNNNNNNNNNNNNNNNNNNNNNNNNNNNNNNNNNNNNNNNNNNNNNNNNNNNNNNNNNNNNNNNNNNNNNNNNNNNNNNNNNNNNNNNNNNNNNNNNNNCUCCUGCUUUCUUUGACUCUCAGGUAAAAUGAAGAUACUACAUAACCAUAUGAGAGGCAGAGGACUAUGAGAGGGAGGCGACUGCUGCUCGACUUCGCGAGGCGGCUAUUCAGGCAGUGGCUGCAACACUCCCGUAUAACGCCCAUUAUGACUUUGGGUUUCGCCAGGAUCAUCCAUGGGAGUAGACCAAGCUAGGCCAAAACCCUAAGCUUCGGGGAGUACGUGUUCUCACCGACUUUACAUUCAUGCUUAUGCAUUCGCUUUGUUAGCCGGUGUUUACACUUUGCCACUGUAUUAUCCAUGCUAGUUUCUUUUGGUUUUCUUGUUUUCUUGUUUUGUGUCCUUUUGAGAAAACCCAAAAAGAUUUUUAUUUCUUCUUUUCCUUGUUGGGAGCUUUCCCGUGUAAAUAGUUUUCUUUUUCUUUCUGUCAAGGUAGAAGAUAUUGGUUACAAUGCUUAGUGGUUCUUACAUGCUUACCUGUUUAGCUUUCAAAGAGCCAUAUUAUUUUGUAUUCUCCUUUGUGUUUGCCAGCAGAUUCAGGUUAGUCCAAUGUGCUUAUUAUCAUUUUCAUCGUUCGGUCGUGCAAAUGAAAGGCAACAAUGAUGAUAUAUGAUGAAGUGACUGAGACUGAAAAGCUGGUAUGAACUCUAUCUAUUUUUUGUUUGUAAAUAUGACUAGCUUGUCGUCCCAGAUUUAGCUUUGUUGUGAGAGAACCAUGUUUGCUAUGACAACUUAGAGAUCAUAGUUUCUGAUGCCAUGCUUAUUUAGCUGAGAGCUUAUAAUGGUUUAUCUUGAUUGCCAACAUAGAUUUNNNNNNNNNNNNNNNNNNNNNNNNNNNNNNNNNNNNNNNNNNNNNNNNNNNNNNNNNNNNNNNNNNNNNNNNNNNNNNNNNNNNNNNNNNNNNNNNNNNNUCUUAAGAACAACGAGAUACUUGAUAUCGUCUAUAACGGACUUACCGAUGCCUCUAGAGACUACCUAGAUAGUUGUGCCGGUUGUGUUUUUAGGGAACGACCUGUAGAACAAGCUGAGACCCUACUGAAUAACCUCUUGAUCAACGAUAAUGCUUGGACUACUCCUGAACCACCUCCUAAGCCAACUCCUAAGAAAAGAGGUAUUCUAUUCCUCAGUCCCGAAGAUAUGCAAGAAGCCAAGAAAUCUAUGCAAGAGAAAGGCAUUAGAUCUGAAGAUGUCAAAAAUCUACCACCUAUCGAAGAGAUCCACGGUCUCGAUAACCCAAUACAGGUAGUAGAAGUGAAUUCUAUGCGUAGGUUUGAUGAGAGUGUAUUCCUUUUGAUAAACCUGCUAGCCUAUGCUUUGAUGAAUUUGACAAUUUUUUUGCCAAACAACAGAGUUUCAAUGAUUAUGUUAGCAGACAUUUGGAACAAAGUGCUCGUAUGCUUAGCCAUUUAAGUGCUUGUGUAGACAGAAAUGUCAAUGCUCUCAAGCUUCUGAGUAAACAUGCCUCUAUGAUUACUACUCAGGUAGAAAAAGUACUUAAAGCUCAGAAUGACCUGCUCAAUGAAUUGAAUGACAACUCUGUCAGAGUCAUUACUAGAGGAGGCAAAAUGACUCAGGAACCUUUGUAUCCUGAAGGUCAUCCUAAGAGAAUUGAUCAAAAUUCUCAAGGAAUCAAUGCUGAUACACCUAGUCAUCCUAAGGAGAAGAAGAAGGNNNNNNNNNNNNNNNNNNNNNNNNNNNNNNNNNNNNNNNNNNNNNNNNNNNNNNNNNNNNNNNNNNNNNNNNNNNNNNNNNNNNNNNNNNNNNNNNNNNNCACGUCUCGGUUCCCAGCGUAAGCCGGUUCCCCCCAAUGUUUUUCUGGACACUUUGCAUAAUCCUUCCGUAAGGUUGCCCUCGGAGGAGGAGUUGGCAAUACGAGACCCUGAGUCUCAGUUCAUGGCGGCUCUCCAUGCUAUGCCGGAUUGGUUUCUUCCGUAUCUGGCCUAUCUCGCCCGAGGUGAGUUACCUUCGGAUGAAGUAUUGGCUCGCUAGAUCGUUCGGCGAAGCAAAUCCAUGGUGAUCAUCAAUGGCGAAUUAUACAAACGAAGCACCUUCGGGGUUUUCCAAAGAUGUGUUUCCUCCGAAGAAGGAUGCAUAAUUCUAAAUGACAUUCAUUCCGGAGAUUGUGGGCAUCACGCCGGAUCACGCUCCUUGGUUUCAAAAGCGUUCUGUCAUGGUUUCUUCUAGUUGACGGCCCAUGCAGAUGCAGAGGAGAUACUUCGUCGAUGUGACGGAUAACAGCGUUAUGGACGACACGCCCAUGUGCCAACUCAAGAACUAAGGAUGAUACCUAUCACUUGGCCUUUCGCGGUCUGGGGUUUAGACAUGGUUGGCCCCUUUAAGAUGUCAUCCAACAAUAAAACUCAUCUGCUGGUGGCGGUUGAUAAGUUCACCAAGUGGGUUGANNNNNNNNNNNNNNNNNNNNNNNNNNNNNNNNNNNNNNNNNNNNNNNNNNNNNNNNNNNNNNNNNNNNNNNNNNNNNNNNNNNNNNNNNNNNNNNNNNNNUAGGUGGUAUCUCGCUAGUUCUUUCUGAGACCGCAAAACAUAAAUGCGAAGCACUUUCAAAGAUCAAGGGCUUACUAAACAUUGUAAUUCAUAGCAACGAAAAUAAAUAGACAGGCCCUUCGCAGAGGGAAGCAUUGAUUUGCAUAGGUGCGAGAGCUCAAGCUUUUUGAAAACAGAGAUAAUAAUUUUGGGUGGCAUGCUUUCAUUGUCAACGCAAUGACCAAGAGUUCUCAAUAUCUUCCAUGCUACUCAUGCUAUAGGCGAUUCCAAACAAAAAAGUAAAGUUUUAACUUCCCCACCACCAAUCAAUCAGACUCCAUGGCUAGCUGAAUCCUCGGGUACCGUCCAUACUAACAUCAAUCCGGGGGGAGUCUUGUUUUACAGUUAUGUUUUCGAUUUAAGCAUGGAACUGGGCAUCCCAAAUAGCGGCCCCUUUCUCGUGAAGGACUGUGAAUGAACACAUGUCAAGGAUAACACUGCUAGCAUUGAAGAUACCAAUAGCCCUCUGUCACCACAUGAGCGGUUCGGGCAUGCANNNNNNNNNNNNNNNNNNNNNNNNNNNNNNNNNNNNNNNNNNNNNNNNNNNNNNNNNNNNNNNNNNNNNNNNNNNNNNNNNNNNNNNNNNNNNNNNNNNNAGUAAAUUAACUUACUUGUCCCCAUUUGGCCUAAUCGACCACCUCUGCUCGGGGGUCGCUGGCACGAGCGGGAGCCCCGAACUACCAUGCUGGUAGACGGUAUCCCCCUCACCCAGCUCCUCGUUGCUACCAGCAUCCCACUGGGUCUCUUGGGACGUAAUAGAAGUUCAUAAAUUGCUUGAACUCUUCCAUAAUACUUGGUGUCUCCUUCGCCGAUAGCAAAGACAGAACAAUUUGUAGUCUUUAGGUCGGGCAUAGAUAGCUCUUUGCCAAAGGUAGGAAAGUGAUAACCGUUGAUGUUGUAUUUGUCAAAUGAACGAACCUUAUAGUCAAAACCAUUAGCGACUUGUCUCAACUCAGUGUCCAUAGACUCUGCAUCAGCCUACAAGUUUAAUACGAAAGAAUGGAUGCAUUAGCCGCAAAUUAGACCAAGAAAUCAAAUGGGCCCUUAAUGGUAAUUAAUUACCCUUUGUUUGAACCCAGAGAUGAAACCGGGAUAGUUGCCUCCAUGCUNNNNNNNNNNNNNNNNNNNNNNNNNNNNNNNNNNNNNNNNNNNNNNNNNNNNNNNNNNNNNNNNNNNNNNNNNNNNNNNNNNNNNNNNNNNNNNNNNNNNCAAGUAAGUUAAUUUACUCUUAUUUAACCUUUUGCCUUCGCGUUUUCUCAAAUAUCUAAUGUUUUGGCUUUAAUUUGUCAUACUGUAGGGGUUGGAUUGUUGCCAAGGGUGUUCGCAAGCCCAACAGCGUCCUUGGUGUUCUUUUCCGUAAAAACUUCCCAGGGUUUGUUACGUUACCCGGCCUGGAGCGAGAGGUAGGAAUGACCUGGGAGCACUACUUGGGUGCCCCGGCCCCGCCGGAGGUGGAGAUCGACGGUGUUUUGUGCGACACGAGGGCGGACAUGGUGAUCCGAAAGUUCUAGGUAAUUUCUCCUUCACACAAUUAUAAAUCAACCAUAGCUAUUUAUUGUACUAAUCGGUGUUGUCUUGUUUGCAGACCUACUACAGGUGUGAGGAGGGAUACGAGGAGGACGCGGCAAAGGUUAUCGAAACAGAAUGUCACCGCCUACUUCAAAACUUUCGGCACGAGGCUCGGGUGCAAGCUGUUCGAGACUACUAUGCCAUGCNNNNNNNNNNNNNNNNNNNNNNNNNNNNNNNNNNNNNNNNNNNNNNNNNNNNNNNNNNNNNNNNNNNNNNNNNNNNNNNNNNNNNNNNNNNNNNNNNNNNGUGCAAUUAGUUUUAGCUUUUGAGGAAGUUAGUUCGCGAUAUAUUUUGCCGUGAUGCUCUUUUGUUUAAUUCAUAGAAUUUAUUCCGUGCCUCGUUUGAAUUAGUUGUCAACUAGGGAGUUGAUCUUGGGUGUUUUGUUUAGGCCCUGGUAAUUUUAGUUGCAAUAGAAAUGCAUGUUUAGGUGUUGUUUGCUUGCUCUCAAGUUGCUUGAAUAGUGCUGUUUUAGAGGAGCUGAAAUAUUUCUAAGUCUGGAUUCUGUUAUUAUUUUGUUGCUGUUUUGGUUUGCUUCUAGCUUGUGGUCUGUAGAUCUUUUGGAGUUGCUCCAAUGGAGUUAGUUGUACCCCUUAUGUUUCUCAAGCAUGCUGUUAAGUUUCAUGCCAUUUGGAGUCCUGUAUAUUAGGUUUUUGCUGCUGUCAAUAUAGCUUCAGGCUGAAAACUGCACUUUCACGAGGUGUAAUUUUCACUAAGUCUGGAAUAGUGUUUGAGAUGCCAUUUUGUGUCUUCUUUUCCUAGUGCUCCUUGGUGCCAUGCUAGUNNNNNNNNNNNNNNNNNNNNNNNNNNNNNNNNNNNNNNNNNNNNNNNNNNNNNNNNNNNNNNNNNNNNNNNNNNNNNNNNNNNNNNNNNNNNNNNNNNNNCUUGCGACACGACGAGAUGCGCUUCUAUCCCUGACGAGGCCCUCGUGCUAAAUUGAGGAUAGGGUCGCAUCUUGGGCGUAACAAGUUGGUAUCAGAGCAAGGACCGACCUAGGAGCCCCCUUGAUUGAUCGAACUUGGCCGAGUCGAGUCUAGUGAAAAAUACUUUGAGUCUAGUUAUAUAUCGGAGAGUAGGAUUCUUUUUUUCUCCUCUUCUAUGCUCUGGUGAGGAAUCUUGACGUAAUAAUUUACUCUACUCCUCUUCUCACUCAAAUUUUAGGAUCACGCGGAUAUUUUUGAGAUCUAUAUGAUGCCGAUGUGANNNNNNNNNNCUAUUUGAGUCUUAGUUAUAUAUUGGAGAGUAGGAUUCUUUUUUCUCCUCUUCUAUGCUCCGGUGAGGAAUCUUGACGUAAUAAUUUAUUCUACUCCUCUUCUCACUCAAAAUUUUUUUAGGAUCACGCGGAUAUUUUUGAGAUCUAUAUGAUGCCGAUGUGACGGAGUUCUGUCUUGGUGCCUCCUGUCUGACUUGAUCUUCUUUCGGGGAGUUGAGCUCCAGGGGAUUCUCGAGCACAUCGUUAUCAUUCAGAUUUCUUAGUAUCUCAGAACGAAGGAUGUUCGUAAUUGCUUCAAUACUAGUAGUGGCGAGAUAACCCCGACGUCCCCAGUACUGGUGCAGAUUGUUCGGGGGUACUGCCAUACUUUGUAUCGUUGUGAUCACGAGGGUCUGUUGUAGAUGAAGGUCCGAGAUUCUGGUCGUGUGUUGANNNNNNNNNNGACGAAGGAUGUUCGUAAUUGCUUCAAUAAUAGUAGUGGCGAGAUAACCCCGAUGUCCCCAGUAUUGGUGCAGAUUGUUCGGGAGUACUGCCAUACUUUGUAUCGUUGUGGUUACGAGGGUCUGUUGUAGAUGAAGGUCCGAGAUUCUGGUCGUGUGUUGACGGAUGUGAUACAAGUGACGGGUUAGUAUAUGGAGUUGUGUGAUAUUACUCCUUGUAUCCGUGUACCAGAUUGCAUGACCAGAUACUUCGGGAAUUCAUAGGUGGGAAUUCCAGUAGUUGCUUAUAGGACAAUCUUCCAACAAAUAAAUGAUGUUAGGUUGGGGUUCGACAUCUAGUGGAUUCGUUUGUUCACGGUCGACUUACAGCGGUACACGUUGUGUCUUAAAGAGUCCUUGUAGCUUGCUACGACUCGGGGNNNNNNNNNNUGGUGCACUGCCUUGCACUUGAUGACUACUGUAAAUCGUGCCCGUGCGAUCCUGUCCACGAAAAUAUCGAACGGAAAUCUUUCUCAUGAGAUUGUUCUGGCUUGUUUCAUAAGCUUCAUCCUUUGUUUUGUUGGAUAUGGUAAUUCAGUCGCUUCGAUGUCAAGUGGUGAUUUCAGAUCCUUCCUAAUUUGUGUUCUCAUAUUUUUAUGUGAGCGCUAAUUCGUUUGUUCAAUCAGUUGUCUUAUCAAUUCUUGUCAACCCGAGUCAUCGUAUCAAGUCUUUUCAACCGAUGUGUUUCUCUCCAAGUGGAUUCAACCCUCUCCAAUUUGCAAGUUCUUUCUCUCGUUUACUCCGGAGUUCAUCUCGUCUAGACCAAGUGUCUUUGUUUUUCCCCACCCUCCCGCCCUUUUUCUUCGGCGAUUGGGUUUCAUCCAGCUGCAUUCAUUUCAUUGUGCUUUCGCUGUCUGUUCUUUUCUCUCCUACCCGGUGAUUCGUUGUGAAGAUUCUCAGGAGCUUCGUGUUCAUCUUUAUUCAGUCUUGUUAUCUUUUUCGGUGAAUUCAAUUCAGUUGUCCGUGUUCAUCAUAUCCUAUUCAUUCUUGUAAUUCUUUCCUAUGUUGGGAAUUGUUAUGAGUCUAUCUUGCUAUUCAUUCCUCUUUUUCCUAUCCGGAGUGCUGAAGAUAUCUCUGAUUUCGAGUUUUCAAUUCUUUCUUUAUUUCGAGGUUCUCAACCUCAUCUAGUUUUUCUUAUUCCGGUGCAAUAUCUCUCCUUAUAAUCAGUUGUUUCAACGGUGAUUUCUUUGAGUGGGCCCAUAACCCACAGGUUCUUUCCCAGGAUCUUACCUGACUCUUUAAUCUUUUCCGGAGAUCCUUAAUUCUUUUCAACUAUGACGUAAGUAUGGAUUUCAUCAGUCAUAUUCUUUCUUCAAGAUCCAUUUAAUUAACUCUCAAAUUUGGCUCAAACUUGCAUUCUUCAUUAGUCCGGAGUGUCUCAGCUAUUCUUGGUGUUGUUUCUCGUCGUCAUUCUCACCUUCCAAAUCCAAAGGAGUGUUUCUCCCAAUCUUGGUCCGUUCUUUUGAAGACUAUCAUCUCAGCUUCGUGUAUCCUCUCAUUUGUUGUCAAUCAUGAGUAAUCCCUUUCUUGCUAUCCGGUGCAUUUCUGAAUUGUUUUUAUUUCUCGUCCUCCGAAGGCCAUCAUUUUAGAAGAUUCUUCGUUCUCAGCUUUCAGCUUUCAUCUUCAAUUCUUCUCAAUUGUUGUCUCUUCGUUGUCUCUCGUUUAUCCGGUGCCUUGUUCUAGUUGUCUCUAAGGUGGCUCAUGAUCUCUUCUUUCUCAUGUAUCUCCAGUCAUUCAGGGUUGGCUCAUUCAUUUCAAUUCUCACCGGUGCCUCUUUCAAGAUUUAUUCUAGUUUGUGCUCAUAUCUCUCCUCAAUCUUUUUAGAAGAAUAAGUGAUAUGCUAAAUCCGUUGAUUGUCAUCAGUUUAACUUGANNNNNNNNNNUAUUCUUGUUCAUAGUAAUCUGAAUUCUUCUUCCGGAGUGCCUAAUGAUAUCAAUUCAUUUGCUCUAGUGUUCUUAUCUUUCUUUUCCGGAGUUCCAAGUUUUCUGAAGUGUCUCUUCGUGUUGCUUCACCUAAAUCUUGGUGCGGCUUCAAUCUUAUUCUUUCAUCCUUCUUAUCUUUGCAUCGUCCUUUUCAUACGGUGGUUCAUCAAGGUUUCAAUUCAUUCUCAAAGUGUUCUUCAAGAUUUUGUUGCAGAACCUUAAGUAUCCGUUCUCUUGCAUUUCUAAGUGCAUUUGUUCUUUCUUUAUCCUUUGAGGUGGUAUUAUAGCCUUCUUGUUAGUGUAGGAGACUUGAAGAGUUUUCCUCUCAAGAAGGAGAUAAUUAAACCCACCAAUUCCUUGAUCAUGAGAUAUCUGCAACCCAUGAUUUCUUCAUUGAGCUAUCUUGGUUUGGAUUUCACCUAAAGCUUUUCCUAUGGAUUGUUGCUAUCAUGGUGCUUGUCAUUAAUACCAGUUCUCAAUGCACCCUCUUGGUGUAAGAAGUUUGAUAUCUUUGCCUUCAGCUAAUCCUUGUUCCUUUUAGUGGUUGUUUGUCACCUCAUAUAUGUUGAGUUGGUCUUCGUAAGCCCACUUCUAUCUUGUUCUUUUCAUUGUUGUUUUUCCAUCAACUUCGUCCAAUUCUUCUUGCAAGAAUGUUUGUCAAGUUCAUUGGAGUUAGUAGUUGUCAUUCUUUUCUUCAUACUCUUCUUCUGUAUGAGCUAGUUUCUAUUCUCUUGUUCCGGAGGCAUUGUGAUGUUGCUCUUUUGGGUCUGUCUUGUUGUUCUAUCAAGAUCAUGGUGUUCCCUUGCUCUAUUUAGUUCUUUGUUAUGAAUAUUGUCUAUUUCUUCCACCUUUUCGAAUUUUUGUCCCUUUUUCCUACCGAAGUGCUGCCGAAAUUUUCCGUGAAUUCUGGCUUCUUUCUCAUGUCAGUCCUCAUCUCUUUGCAACCUUCAAGGAUCGUUGGUUUCACUCGUUUGUCAAAGAAGCGACUAAGUUUUUACCUCUUGUUCUUUCUCUUCCCCUCCCCCUUUCAUUCUUGGAUCUCGGGGCGAGAUCCUCUUGUAGUGUAGGAGAGUUGUGACAGCCCGAGACCGACGUUCCAGAAGAUUCCCCUCUCUUUCCGUUUUCGUCGUGUGUCUAUUUUUAUUUGUCGCAUCAUCAUCGCAUCAUGCGCAUCAUCUGCAUUGCAUCGGCAUCUCCGUUGCCGCCAGUUUUCAAAACUUGCAUUCGUUGUUAGUUGCCGUUUCUCUUCGCGUUCGUCGUUGUUCGUUCCGAGUCCGACCGCACACGCACGCGCCCGCGGCACCGUCGAAACCCUGUUUUUAUAGUGCGUUUAAAACUCUCUCUGAUCGAGGUGAAACUUGGCACGCGGUCGCGAUCUGUGAUAGCUAGGCCGCCUGUCGAAUUUCGUCGCGAUCGGAGACCGUCUGGUACCCUAACGGACGCCCGUAGUGGUACCGUCUUCGGUAUAUCGUCGGACGUCUGUCGGUGUUUUAAAAACUCGUGCCGCGCCGCCCGCUCUCCCCCCUCGUCUCCGGAUGUCUACACAACACGGCCACGUAGCACGCCCCGCGUUCGGAAUCGUCCGAAUCCGACCCCGCGGUUGGAUCCGGAUCGCGAUUCCGGUUAACCGAGCCCCCUAUUCUUUAUAAAUACCCCCCCUCCUCCUUAUUUUUCGGACAACCUCUCUCUCUCUUCCUCGUUUUCCGCGCAAACCCUAGCCGCCGCCCCACCUCNNNNNNNNNNNNNNNNNNNNNNNNNNNNNNNNNNNNNNNNNNNNNNNNNNNNNNNNNNNNNNNNNNNNNNNNNNNNNNNNNNNNNNNNNNNNNNNNNNNNGCUCUUUUAAUCAUCUCCGGAGAUCUUUAAAUUCUUUUCAUCAAUGACGUAAGUAUGAAUUUCAUCAGUCAUAUUCAUUAUUCAAGAUCAAUUGGAGUUAAUUCUCAUAGUUGGCUCAACCUUUCAUUUUUUUCUUUUAUUCUGGAGUGUCUCAGUAUUCUUGGAGAUGUUCUUCUCGUCAUUCUCUCCUGUGAAGAUUCGAAGGAGUGUUCCUCGUAAAUCUUGCUCCGUUCUUGUGAAGAUUGUCAUCUCAACUUCGUGUUACCCUCUCAUUAUUUCCAACAAUGAGUAAUCCCUUUCUUGCUAUCCGGUGCAUUUCUGAGUUGUUUCACUCUCGUUCCUCCGAAGGCCAUCAUGUUAGUAGAUUCUUCGUUCUCAGCUUUCAGCUUUCAUCCUCAAAUCUUCCUAAUUGUUGCCUCUUCGUUCGUCUCUUGAUUAUCCGGUGCCUUGUUCAAGUUUUCUCUCGGGUGGCUUAUGAUCUCUUCAUUCUCUUGUAUCUCCAGUAAUUCGUGGUGUUCCCAUUCAAUUGUGAAUUCUUACCCGUGCUUCCUUCAAUUUUGCUUCAAGUGGUGCUUAGCUCUCCGUCUCUUCAAGAUUCAUUUCUAGUAGAAUAAGUGAUAUGCUAAAUCCGUUGAUUGUCAUCAGUUUAACUUGAUGAAGGAUAAGCAUAACAUAAUUCUCAUUCUUGUUCAUAAGUAAUCUGAAUUCUUCUUCCGGAGUGGCUCAUGGUUUCAAUUCUUUUCUCGUGUACUAUCUUUGUUUUCCGGAGUUCCAAGUUCUUUUAAGUAUCUCUUUGUGAAGCUUCAUCUAAAUCUUGGCAAGGUCAUAAUCUUAUUCUUUUCUACCUUCAUAUCGUUGCAUCAUUCAUUUGUAUACGGAGGUUCUUCAUGGUGGUUCAUCAAGGUUUCAAUCCUUUCUCAAGUGUUCUUCAAGAUUUUGUUGCAGAACCUCAAGUAUCCGGUCUCUUGCGUUUCUAAGUGCAUUUGUUCUUCCUUUAUCCUUUGAGGUGGUAUUAUAGCCUUCUUGUUAGUGUAGGAGACNNNNNNNNNNUGAGAUAAUUAAAUCCACCAAUUUCAUGAUCAUGAGAUAUUUCAACCCAUGAUUUCUCCUUUGAGCUAGCUGGGCUUAGUUUUCACCUGAAGCUUUUCCUAUGGAUGUUGCUAUCAUGGUGCUGUCAUUAAUCCCAGUUCUCAAUGUACCCUCUUGGUGUAAGAAAUUGUUCAUAUCUUGUUUCUCCCAAUCUAUCCUUGUUUCUUUUAGUGGUUGGUUGUCACCUCAUAUUUGUUGAGAUGAUUUUCAUAAGCCCACUACUAUCUUGUUCAUUUCAUUGUUGUUUUUACCAAAAACUUCGUCCAAUUCUUCUUGCAAGGAUGCUUGUCAAGUUCAUUGGAGUUAGUAGUUGUCAUUCUCUCUUCAUUCUCUUCUUCCGUAUGAGCUAGUUUCUAUUCUCUUGUUCCGGAGGCAUUGUGGUAUUGCUCUUUUGGGUCUAUUAUGUUGUUCUAUCAAGAUCAUGGUGUUCCCUUAUUCUAUUUACUUGUUUGUUGUGUUUAUUUUCUAUUUCUUUCAUCUUAUCGAAUUUCUUGUCCCAUUUUCCUACCGAAGUGCUGCCGAAAAUUUCCGUGAAUUCUUGUUUCUUUCUCAUAUAAUUCCCCGUCUCUUUGCAACCUUCGGGGAUCGUUGGUUUCACUCGUUUGUCAAAGAAGCGACUAAAUUUUACCUCUUGUUCUUUCUCAUCCUCUUCCCCUUUCAUUAUUGGAUCUCGGGGCGAGAUCUUCUUGUAGUGUAGGAGAGUUGUGACAGCCCGAUGCCGACGUUCUAGAAGCUUCCCCUCUCUUUCCGNNNNNNNNNNNNNNNNNNNNNNNNNNNNNNNNNNNNNNNNNNNNNNNNNNNNNNNNNNNNNNNNNNNNNNNNNNNNNNNNNNNNNNNNNNNNNNNNNNNNGCCGGCCUGUAACCCAUCCUAGAUCGAUGAAGAAGAAGAAGAAGAAGAAGCAACUCCAAAUGAACAAUCAACGCGCUCGCGUCGAGUAACCUUUACCUGUACCUGCAACUGGUGUUGUAGUAGUCUGUGAGCCACAGGGGACUCAGCAAUCUCAUUUCCAAAGGUAUCAAGACUAGCAAAGCUUAUUGGGUGAGGCAUGGUUAAGUGGUGAGGUUGCAGCAGCGGCUAAGCAUAUAUAUGGUGGCUAACUUACGAGUACAAGAAAUAAGAGGGGGGAAAUCUACGCAUAAUGGACGUCACUACAGAUGAUCAAAAGAAUGAUCCUGAACACCUACCUACGUCAGACAUAACCCCACCGUGUCCUCGAUCGGAGAAAGAACUCACGAAAGAGACAGUCACGGUUACGCACACAGUUGGCAUGUUUUAAUUAAUUAACUUCAAGUUAUCUAGAACCAGUGUUAAACAAAGCUUCCACGUUGCCACAUAACCGCGGGCACGGCUUUCCGAAAGAUUUAACNNNNNNNNNNGGAACUCACGAAAGAGACAGUCACGACUACGCACUCAGUUGGCAUAUUUUAAUUAAGUUACUUCAAGUUAUCUAUAACCAGUGUUAAACAAAGUUUCCACGUUGCCACAUAACCGCGGGCACGGCUUUCCGAAAGAUUUAACCCUGCAGGGGUGCUCCAAGUAGUCCAUCACAAAUUACCACAAGCCGCAUAGAAAUCCUCAAUCACGAAGCUCGCGAUCUCGUCGGAUUCCCUAGUGGAAAACCUCAACUAUGAGAUUACCCAAAGCAUCACCGGAGUCCCGAUGCACAAGAUAUCUCGUCAAAGGUAAAACUAAUCCAGCAAGGCCACCCGGUGUGUCGACGAACCCGAUAGGAGCCGCGUAUCUCGUUCUCAGGACACACCGUCUAUGCAAAGUGGACGGUAGCCAAACCUCGAGUUGCCCCGUGGUGGCACCGCCGACUGCUAGGUGGGUGGACCAACACUCAUGAGGAGCACUGGCCCGGGGGUUGAUUAAAUUAUNNNNNNNNNNGCCCGACGUGUCGACGAUCCCGAUAGGAGUCGCGUACCUCGUUCUCAGGACACGACGAAUAAGCACAGCGUACGGUGGCCUGAUAGAAAUCUCCCGAGUUGCCCCGGGUUGGCCCCGCAAACGGCUCUAGUUUGGACCAACACUCAUGAGGAGCACUGGCCCGGGGGUUGAUUAAAUUAUCCUCGGGGUCCGGAAAGUCCCUAUGCAAUUUUAUUAGGUGUUUAGGCAAAUGUAGAACCAAGGUUGGGCCUUGCCAGACCAGCCUUAAUCUAAAACGAAUUAUCAAGGGGGUCCCCAUAACNNNNNNNNNNNNNNNNNNNNNNNNNNNNNNNNNNNNNNNNNNNNNNNNNNNNNNNNNNNNNNNNNNNNNNNNNNNNNNNNNNNNNNNNNNNNNNNNNNNNGAAUUAUCAAGGGGGUCCCCAUAACGACCCCGAUCGUGUUAGGAGCGCUCAUUUAUGGAACAUAACACCGGUAGCCGAAACUAAGGGGGCAAAGGUGGAACAAAACACCAGGCUAGAAAGGCCGAGCCUUCCACCUUUUACCAAGUAUAUAGGUGCAUUAAAUUAAAUAGCAUUAAAUAUGGUGAUAUAACAAGGAACCCAUGCUUUGCAUGGAAGCAACUGCCCUGCAACUAGCAACGCUAUCAACAGGGUUAAGNNNNNNNNNNGUAACUAAAAAGGGGCAAAGGUGGAACAAAACACCAGGCUAGAAAAGCCGAGCCUUCCACCUUUUACCAAGUAUAUAGGUCUGUUAAAUUAAAUAGCAUUGAUAUGGUGAUAUGACAAGGAAACCAUGUUUCACAUGGAAGCAACUGCACCUGCAACUAGCAACGCUAACAACAGGGUUAAGCAAGCAGUAACAUAGCCAAUCAGUGGUUUGCUAGGUUGAACAGGUUGAGGGUUAACAUGGCAUUGUUGAGAGGCUGAUAUUUAACAGGUGGUAGGCAACGAGACGUAAACGAUAGCAACGGUAAAACUAGCAUGGCAAUGAUAGUAAUGGUAACUGGGGAAAUGAUCAUCUUGCCUGAGAUCCCGCUUGGAAGAAGAAUGCCUCCGUGAAGCAGACGAACCAACGUAGUCGAACGGGUCCUCACAAUCCGGCACGCUGCGGAACUCUAUCGAGACGAAGCAAACCGGAAACAAGCAUCAACACACGAAAUUCACCACACGAUGCACAACACAAAUGAUGCAUGAGCUACUGAAUACAUGCAAGUCACGGCAUGACAGUUCCGCACAAUCAAAACUACACAUUAAGUGAAGUUCAAUGUGCACGAGUUGCAUAUUGACGAAACUCCACGUUUAUUAGUUAGUUCUAUCCCGAUUAGAUACCCGACNNNNNNNNNNNNNNNNNNNNNNNNNNNNNNNNNNNNNNNNNNNNNNNNNNNNNNNNNNNNNNNNNNNNNNNNNNNNNNNNNNNNNNNNNNNNNNNNNNNNCCACCUGCGCUAGGGUUUCCCCCCCUCUCCCCUCUUCCUGCGCCAUGGGCUGAGUGGGGGGCGCACCAUCCCACCUAAGGGCUGGUUCCCUUCCCCACUUGGCCCAUCUAGCCUCCCGGGGUCGUUGCCCCCCUUCGGUGGACCUCCGGGGCCACCUCUGGUGGUCCCGGUGGUCCCGGUAUGUUACCGGUGAUGCCCGAAACACUUCUAGUGUCCGAAACCAUCCCUCCUAUAUAACAAUCUUUACCUCCGGACCAUUUCGGAGCUCCUCGUGACGUCCGGGAUCUCACCCGGGACUCCGAACAACUUUUGAUAACCUCGUAUAACAAUUCCCUAUANNNNNNNNNNCGGUGUUCGAAACCAUCCGUCCUAUAUAUCAAUCUUUACCUCCGGACCAUUCCAGAGCUCCUCGUGACGUCCGGGAUCUCAUCCGGGACUCCGAACAACUUUUGAUAACCUCGUAUAACAAUUCCCUAUAACCCUAGCGUCAUCGAACCUUAAGUGUGUAGACCCUACGGGUUCGGGAGACAGGCAGACAUGACGGAGACACCUCUCCGGUCAAUAACCAUCAGCGGGGUCUGGAUACCCAUGGUGGCUCCCACUUGCUCCACGAUGAUCUCAUCGGAUGAACCACGAUGCCAAGGAUUCAAUCAAUCCCGUAUACAAUUCCCUUUGUCUGUCGGUAUAGAACUUGCCCGAGAUUCGAUCGUCGGUAUACCUAUACCUUGUUCAAUCUCGUUACCGGUAAGUCUCUUUACUCUUUCUGUAGCACGUCAUCGUGUGACUAACUCCUUAGUCAUAUUGAGCUCAUGAUGAUGUUCUACCGAGUGGGCCUAGAGAUGCCUCUCCGUCACACGGAGUGACAAAUCCCGAUCUCGAUUCGUACCAACCCAACAGACACUUUCAGAGAUACCCGUAGUGCACCUUUAUAGUCACCCAAUUACGUUAUGACGUUUGAUACACCCAAAGCACUAUUACGGUAUCACAAUCUCACGGUCGAAAAAAAAGACACUUGACAUUAGAAAAGCUUUAGCAUACGAACAAUACGAUCUAGUGCUACGCUUAGGAUUGGGUCUUGUCCAUCACAUCAUUUUCCCAAUGAUGUAAUCCCGUUAUCAAUGACAUCCAAUGCCCAUGACCAGGAAACCAUGAUCNNNNNNNNNNGUGAUGUUUGAUACACCCAAAGCACUCCUACGGUAUCCGGGAGUUGCACAAUCUCACGGUCGAAGGAAAAGACACUUGACAUUAGAAAAGCUUUAGCAUACGAACAAUACGAUCUAGUGCUAUGCUUAGGAUUGGGUCUUGUCCAUCACAUCAUUCUCCCAAUGAAGUGAUCCCGUUAUCAAUGACAUCCAAUGCCCAUGACCAGGAAACCAUGAUCAUCUAUUGACUUACGAGCUAGCCAACUAGAGGCUUGCUAGGGACAUAUUGUGAUCUAUUUAUUCACACAUGUAUUACUAUUUCCUGUUAAUACAAUUAUAGCAUGAACAAUAGACGAUUAUCAUGAANNNNNNNNNNNNNNNNNNNNNNNNNNNNNNNNNNNNNNNNNNNNNNNNNNNNNNNNNNNNNNNNNNNNNNNNNNNNNNNNNNNNNNNNNNNNNNNNNNNNUAGGGCGAAUUCCUCACCGUACCCAUGUUCGGCAAAGUACUUAUCGACCUUGGUAAAUGUACCAUCGUCGUCAUCGUCGUCGUCCGGAACCUGUGCCAUAUGCAUGUCCGGUAGCGUUGCGGCGGUCUUGCCAUGGCUUGGCGCCGGCACGACUGGCGGUGUUGUCUGUGGGGUGGUGUCCCCCGCCCCCAAACGAAUCUGGCUCUUCGGCCAAAGCUAGGGUAACCUUAAGCAGGCGCUGAGGGUCAUCACAUCAUCUUUGUCGGCCCCAGCGGGGUGGAACGGAGGUAACAAGUCGUCGCAGCCUGGCAGCACCCGAACCAGUUGAACCCUAUACGUGGUGGGUGGCAUCGGUUUACCGUGGAACAUGGGGUUGCCCGGUUGAACGAUUCUGCCCUUGGCGACAUCCAUCAACUCGUCGCCCAUGAAGUGCACGAGAGUGCAUGGAACGUCGGCGUCGGCGCCCUGCGAAAACAUGUAGGGCGUCAGGGGAUGCCCAGUCAAAGGCAAGGAGAUGAAGUCAUCGGCCGAGAGAGGCUUAGUUACCGUGAUGGCGUCAAGCUCGGCUAAUGUCGAGGCACCGCCAACGGCGGGCGUGCAAGUGACGGAGGGGUCGCUUGCUGCCGAGGUGCCGGCCGGCGCCGGAGACACCAAUGGCGCCAGCGCCGGAGACACCAAUGGCGUCGCCUGCGCGUUGUGCGAGUUGCUGGCCGUGAAGCUGGGAAUCGGGGGCGGCCCCUGUUGGCCGCCCGCAAUCCAUGCCUGCAGCCCCUCAAUCAAGGUAGGCACAAUGGCGGUGAUCACCCCUCCCACUUGGUGUUGCACUAGCUCUUGGACCAUCUUCGGAAUCCACGCCACUUUUUCCUUGAGUUCUUCAACCUCGCGCGACUGGCUUUCCAAGUUGGUAUUUCUGUCCUUUCGCCCACCAGCGUUAUAGUAUGACGACCAUUUCGUGGACAAGCCUUUGUCGGCCACACGACCAGCUGACGACGGCUUACUGGACUUAUCCUUGUUUUUCAUUAUGUUAAACGCCCUAUUUAAAUUGGUGUCCCAAUAGGAGCUCUGAGACGACCCCGCGCUACUGCUUUCAGUGUCCUGCGGAAGGAAUGAACCAUUUAGAAAUUUGGCUUCAUUAAUUAGAAUGCAACCAUAUGGAGCUAAUUACGUGGGGUGUAUUCCUUACCAGAACACGCUCAAGCGCCCUGGUCUUCGCAUCCGUGGUAAGCUCCUUUGUUACUGGGUCCACCUUGUACCGGGCCCUAACAUAGUUCCUGGUCUGCUUGUCACCGUAUUUCUCGAAGCGGGGUGGUAGGCCUUGCUCGGCAUGCUCCGCGUCCUCCUUGUCCCAUAUAGGUUCCGCCACUCUGUAACCGCCGGGACCGAGUUGGUGGACCCCUAAGUUCAACUCCCGCAUUUCUUUCCCCCACUGACUUGAUUCCGCGGUUUCCUUGCUCUCGCACUUGAUCUUGAACUCCUUGUAGUCAUCUUCGCUGAUCCAAGAACUUUUUGCCUUGAUCUUCUCAUAACUAUCACCUUUGUCAAUCAUUCUCUUCACCACGCUUCUCCAAGUAGACAGGGCCUUGCUCAUCUUCGUGAGGGCGUCACUGUUCACUUUAUUCCUUGAGAGGUGUGUGUUUGCGACGUCACCGGGGAACUUAUAUCGUUCGUGCAGCUCCGUGAAGAGGAGGUUGCGCAAAUUCCCUCGGUCCUUAUGCCUUAGGUUCUCGGUGUUGAUCGAGACAGUGCUCCGGAGAAUGCACCCGAGCUGAACCGCGUACCCCUUGACUAUUUCUUUGGGCGCCGUUGGAUACCCUUCGGAGUUCACUUCAGUAAAUCCCUCCUUUACGGUGCUGAGCACGUUCGGGCGCCGGUCCUUCCGUUGCCUCUUCGAUUGGCCGCCAUCUGUGCGUGCACUGCCAUCAUCAGUGGUGGCAUCCUCGGCGGCACCAUCAGUGGUGUCAUCCCCGACACCACUAGGGGUUGUGUACUCGGGAUCGGUGUCUUCCGCGGCGUCCUCAUAGCGGUGAGGUUCUUCCUCCAUCUCCUGGGACAACUCCCAGAAUGGCUUGCCCGAACCGCCGGCCUCAUCGUUGUGGGCCAUGUUUCGCUCUAAAUAGGAAAAAAAAUUGGUCAAAAAGUUGGUUAUUGUCAAGGAACAAGAUCAUGGUCUCAUCAUUUAGGGUUUGUCGACACCGAGGCAUCCUAAAAGCUAAGAUUUUAUCAUUUAGGGUUUGUCGACGCCGAUGCACCCUAAAAGUCUAAGCUUUCAUCAUUUAGGUUUUUAUCGACACCGAGGCACCCUAAAAGCCAAGGUUUUAUAAUUUAGGGUUUGUCGAUGUUGAGGCACCCUAAAUGCUAAGUUAAGUUUUCAUCAUUUAGGGUUUAUCGAUGCCGAGGCACCCUAGGUUGACUGAUAUAUGUGGGUAUCUUCUAAUAAUAUACCCUAUCAAGAAAAGGGAAGGAGAAUUCUAAGUUGGGCCUAAUCACUUGGCUCUAUUGCCACCUAUGGUUUAAUGCAGCAAGAAUAAAGGGGCAGUUGAUCCUACUUAAUUAAGUACUAAGAUAUCCCGGCCCAUGCAUUAGUCGCAAGUACCCCAUAUGUCCUAUUUUUAGCAAAGUCAUGCUAAAAUUCACGGAGAAUUUCAGCAUGACCUUUGCUGAAAAUAGGACAUAUGGAGUACCCGAAUUUGCCGGAACGGAAGUUAAUCGACAUUCCGGCAAACUCAAGGGCCUCUUGGGGUACCUGCAAAAUCAUCACGACACGAUGGUCGGAAACAAAACCCAGCAAACUAGCACCACAAUGUGCCUCUACUUUCAUAUGGAUGAAAAGGACACAGACCAUAUGGUCCUCUGCUUUCAUAUGGACAAAAAUAGGUCACCCAACAAAAAAUCAUCAAUAGUUUAGCAAGUUUGUACCCUCAAGAAUGAACAUAUAGCAAUAUCUGUUGUCCCCCCAUAACAUAUGGAAAUCAAAAUCAGCUCAACUUAGAUGACUAGCUAACUCAUUUUUCACAUAGCAAUAUCUGUUGUCCCCCCAUUGUACCUGAAGAACUAGCGGCUGCUGCUCCUGUGCCUGUUCUGCUGAUGCUCCUCUUCCGCUGAUCCAAGUGAUUGUGCUGUGCUGCUGCUGAUUAGAACAAUUUUGGUCCUCUGCACUCUGAAGAAGGUAACUCCGUCAGAGUACUGUACCUGAAAAAUAAAUGAAGUUGAUUUAGUGUUAAAAUUAGGCAUGCGUUAAGUAUGACAACGCAUGUAAAAUUGAUAAGUACUAGGACAGACUAAGUUAAGAGUUACGGAUUACAAUGUAGACGUUGUUGCAAGCUUACGAAGUAAACUAAACAUUACUUACGAAGUAAACUAAACUUUGAAUGGAAGGGAGGAUCCCACCUUGAAAGUAUCUAUCAUAAGCAUCUCUUAGAUUUUUUUUCAUAAAGAAUAAGCCACCGUUAUCAAGCCAUUAGACAUUAACAGCAACAACAAAAAUACAAAACUGGACAUGAGUCCAGUAUCCACGACAAGCAUUCAAUAUUUCAGCUUAACAUUCAAGCAUAUGCUCACAUAGACAACCAUUAGAAAAUCGUGUCAGUCUUUCAGAGACUGCAAAAUGAUCUAUGGCCAGUCUGAUACUUAACUGGCCAGUAGUUUAAAAGAGCGAUAUGAAGAUAAAACAAACUGGGGAUGAUACUUUAUGUAACACUUUGUAGAGUAUUACUUAUGUUUUGGUUACCAUAAAAAUCCAGUAGACCUCAUCCGCGUCGAGAACAUUAGCUAAUCCUGGGGAAGAAAAUAACAACAAUAUUUUUUACAGACAGAGGAAGUAAUUAACUAUUGGUUGCAGGAGUGGUAGUAACUACUGAUAGUAGAGAUCAGUGUGGAAAAAGGGGUGGAGGGGGGGGGGGGAGAAAGCAAUGCAAAUAGGACGAGUCAUCCCCUGGAAGUGAUCAAUCCUAAGAAAUCUGCUCAGGUGACAGCUAAUAUGUACAGUGGUGAAAUCAACGGAAUAACCAGCAGGAAUGCCACGAUGUUCUGCAAGAAGCUUUGGCUUCAGUUCAAGUAAUAUAUAGGAAGGAUAUGAGAUCAUAUGUAAAAGAUAAUACAACAAGACAUGACAUAACUCUGAUGUCUGCACAUGUAAAGAAAAUAUCAUAGUACUAAAUUUCCAUACUAUAAAAUGACCCCAAGUUUGUGAAGCAGACAACAGAGUUCCCUCGGCCACCACAAGCAACUAGAAAUAGCAGAAUGAUGCCACUUUGUAUAAACCUCCAAUGGCACUCUUGUCAGUUUCUACAAUGGUGUUAUUCUUCCAAUUAUUUCCUCUCAUUGCUAACUCCAAACACAAGAUUUUCAGCGUUUUCUGCGGGAGCUUGGAAAUCAUAUGGCAUUUGAUACCACUUGCUCCAAUAAUUGCAGAAGCAUACCAAUUUGCAAGGGCGUCUCUUGUCAGCUGAUAGAAUGGAGUUAUUGUUCCAAGUAUUUCCCAUCGUUGCUAACAACAUUUUCAGUGCCCUCUGCUGAAAGCAUGGCAUUUGAUACCCUCUUAUUCCUCCAUGCACAACCAGAAUCUUACACUGCCUGCCAUGCCCCUCGCAAAUAACACACUGCCUGAAGCUAUAACAAAAUCCAACAAACACAUAAAAACUUCCUUUGCUGGAUCACUGAUGCUUCUGCCUAAAAAUAUCGCCGAACGCCACCCCUUUUGUACUAGCAGCAGGCCGCCCAGACUUGUUCCGUAUCGCAAGCAAGUACCUUCAACAGCGGCAAUUUUGCCGUCCACUCUCACGCUGAAGAAAUCAUCGGUGCUUUCUGGACGCUGACGCAGUUGCUAAGCAGGCAAGAACCCCUAACCGAGCUCACAUAGAAAAGCAGGAGGUGAUGGGAGGGAGGGGGGGAGGGGGAUGCGUAUGACGUAUACCAGGUCCAGCCCGCGGCGGGAAGGUGGAGUAGGGAGGCGGCGUGCGGAGCUCGCCUUCGCCGUGCGCGAAGCCGCAGGAGGGGCCGCGGGGGCAGGGGCCGCGGUGAUUUGGGGCGGCCGGCUCCGGGGGGACGAAGGAAGGGAGCCUGGCCGGCGCGAAAGCCGAGGCCGACAGCGAGCGAUCUCUCCGCCAAACCCUAGCGCCGCCAGAGCUCUCUGCGUGGACGAAGGUGGGGGAAGGGGUGGGCGGGGACGAGGGCGCGCGAGGGCAGAUGGAGUAGAGGCGCGCGAGGACAGCCGGCUUAGGAAUGGCGCACCCCGAGCGGUGCGCCAUUAGAUUUUUUUUUUAGAUAUAGUAAUGGCGCAUGUAUAUGAGGUGCGCCUUCUCUACAUUGUUAAUCUCCGAAAGACCGGCGCAGUGGUGCGUGGGUUUUGCGUGCUAGCAGGAGGUGGCGGGUUCGAUCCCCCCUCAGCACCCUUUUUGGGGUUAUUUUCCUUCGGCACACUAGCCAUCAGAGAGUAUUCCUUGCCCUCUUGCACUUUGCUGUCGAGCAGAUGCUUCUUAGCCUAGUGGUUUGAUGCAGGAUUGAGUACUAGGGGGACAGGGUUCGAAUCCUCUUCCCCCCUCCUUUUAUUUUUUUUCCUUUUAUUUUUUUCUAUGCAUUGUUUUCUUGUGCUGGUUGCACCUUGGUUUGAGAAGCUGAUGUUGUGGUGUGCAUCACACCAUGAGGGUGAUUUUUUUUUUGAUAUUUGCAAGUAGAUUUUUCUUGAUGUUUGCAAGUAUAUUUUUUUUUGCAUCACACCAUGGUGUGCAUCACUGCCUAGUAUAUUUUUUUGAUGUUUGCAAGUAGAUGCCUAUGAAUAGGAGUUGAAUCUUGUGAAUAGGUGUUCUAGUGGUAAGUAUGCCGACGGCGGCGGCGGUGGAGCGGGGAGGGUGCGGGGGGUGCUCGGCGGCGAGGGGGAUCUUGCGAGGGGUGAUAGCGAUCGAGAUGGAGGGGAUCGAGAUCGAGUGUCCUCAUGAAUAUUCAAUAUUUUUUCAUAUUGAAUAUGAAAAAAUAUCAUCAAAUUUGAAAAUGUCGAAAUACAGUCGAGAAAUGAAGGCUACAAUUUAAAUACAAUCGAUCUUAGCUAGCUAUUUGUUCACAAUCUUCUUGCCCUUAUUUUUCGUAAAUGGAGUUCUUCUCUUGAACGUACGUCCUUUAGGUAGGGUGGUCCUGCUUCUUCUUGUGGUGUAUGCUGGUACUUCAUCAUCGUCGUCAUGUUCCAUCUUCGGGUCGCCGUACUUGUCGAAGUCUUGCUCAUUGGCGACUCCAUCCAUUCCGAUGAUCUUCCUUUUGCCUCUCCUCACGACAACACGACUGGGCUUUGGCGGGUCGGUAAUGAAGAAGCAUCGGUCCACUUGGGAAGCCAGUACCCAUGGCUCAUUUUUUGCGGUGACGUUUGCGCCCGCGGUCUUGGAUUUGGCUUCGGGUAUAACCAUGAUGGUGAAAUACCGGUCUUCUUUUAUGACGCUCUUGGCCCAUCUGACACGGAACAUCGAGACCUUCUCUCCAGCGUAGCUCAGCUCCCAGAUCUCCUCGAUCCUUCCGUAGUAUCUGUCCUUGUCGUUACCGGUGUAGGAUUCCAUCGUUACCCCGGAGUUCUGAUAGCCAUCGCUCUUCAUGUCCUUUCCCUCGGUGUAGAAUGUGUAGCCGUUGGUAUCGUACGCCUCAUACGUCAUCAGGUUGUGCUCGACGCCCUGUGACAAGGCGAAUAUGAGUUGUUCUUCCGCGGAAGAAUCCUCAUGUAAAGGGUACGACACAAGCUUCUGCUUGAACCAACGCGUGAAACAUGAGUUGUGCUCUUUGAUUAUAUCUCCGUCCGUCCUAUGUUGGCCUCGGUCAUUGUACGUCUUUUCAAUAAAGGUUUUGUGCUCUACGACCCAAGGAUCGACCACGUCUAUGUGUUGUAGCGCGACUAGGUUUGCUCUUUCAAAGUCGGCGAGUCAACCCUCGAAGUCGACAUGCAUUUCGCGGCGACCCUCACGGUGACCCCAUCCUGCGAGCCUGCCGAGGUGCGUGUUGACGGGCAGACCAACGGGGUUCUCGAUGCCUAGAUAAUUCGUGCAGUAGGAGAUGCACUCUUCGGUCAGAAAGCCCCUGGCUAUGCUUCCCUCUGGACGUGACAUGUUGCGAACGUAUCCUUUGAUGACACCAUUCAUCCUUUCAAACGGCAUCAUGCUGUGCAGGAACGUCGGCCCGAGUUGGAUGAUAUCCUCCACGAUAUGGACCAGCAGAUGCACCAUAACGUUGAAGAAUGCGGGCGGGAAGUACAUCUCAAGCUCGCAUAGUAUCACCAUGAUCUCUUCAUGUAGCCUUCUGAGUUGCCUCACGCCAACUGACUUCCGAGAGAUGACGUCGAAAAAGUCGCAUAGGCCAAAUAGCAUUUCACGGACGUGCGCGUCCAUGAUCCCACGGAUUGCAACUGGAAGUAUCUGCGUCAUCAGCACGUGACAGUCGUGAGACUUCAUCCCGCUAAACUUCUGCUUCGCUGAGUCUAGGUAUCUGCUUAUCUUCCCCGCGUAACCGUAAGGAAGUUUUACUCCUACGAGGCAGGUGAAAAACUGAUCGAUCUCCUCCUGACUUAGAGUGAAGCACGCGGGAGGGAAGUCAUUUCCGGUCUUCUUGGACUUUUUGCCUUUGUGAUGACUUUCCGUGUCCUGCUUCGCCUCAUCAUCAUCAUCAUUAUUAGCGUGAAGCUCCUCCCUGAUGCCCAUUGAUUUCAAGUCUGCCCUUGCUUUCGGUCCAUCUUUGGUCCUCUCUGGCAUGUUGAGCAGGGUACCAAGCAGACUCUCACACACGUUCUUCGUGAUAUGCAUGACAUCAAGGCUGUGAGGCACACGGAGGAUCUUCCAGUACGGCAAGUCCCAAAAAACAGACCUCGUUUUCCAUACCUUCAGCAGCGGCUCUGGCGCCUUUCGCUUCUUUCCCGGCUAUGGCGCCUUUCCCGGCGGUGGGCAUUCUUUCCAAUUUUUCAACAGCUCGUAUAUUUCCUCGCCACUCCUCAUAAGGGGGCGUCUUCGGGGUUCGGUUUCACCAUCGAACAGAUCCUUGCGUUUUCUCCAUGAGUCAUCGUCGCGAAGCCACCUUCGAUGUCCCAUGAACACGGUUUUUGAAGACCCAGGAUCUCUAUCUAGCUGGCGAUACAUUGUGUCAUCCAUGCACCUGACGCAUCCAGAAAAUCCGUGGACCACCUGCCCCGCGACAUAUCCGUAACCGAGAUAGUCGUGCACCGUCGUGAGCAGUGCGGCUCUGAUAGGGAAAUAUUCUUUCUCUGUGGCGCCCCACGUAUUGGCUGGCGUUUUCCACAGCGUGUCUAGCUCCUCUUUCAGCAGCCCCAGAUAUAGAUUGAUGUCGUUCCCUGGUUGUUUCGGCCCUUCAAUUAGCAUACUCAUGUGAAUGUACUUCCUCUUCAUGCACAACCAGGGGGGAAGGUUGUACAUCCACACAAACACAUGCCAGGUGCUAUGUGUGCUUCUCUGGCUGCCAAACGGAUUGACUCCAUCGGUGCUCGCGCCCAGCACGAUGUUCCUUGGAUCGUCCCCAAAAUUUGGGUAUUCGUAGUUCAACGCUUUCCACUGGCUCGCAUCCUUAGGGUGACUCAGCAUCUUGUCUUUUUUAUUUAUCUCCGGAUCAUUUCCGUCAUCUUCUCGCUUUUUCUCCUCCCUAUCCGCGUGCCAACGCAGGAGCUUUGCUACCUUAGGGUCCGCGAAAUACCGUUGCAGAUGAGGAGUGAUUGGAAAGUACCACACCACUUUUGGAGGAGCUUCCUUCCUCUUCUUGUAUCGACUGACGCCGCACACCGGACAUAUGGUAGACUCCGCGUGCUCGUCCCGAUAAAUGAUGCAAUUGUUCAUGCACACAUGGUAUUUCACGUGCGGUAAAUCCAGAGGACACACGAUUUUCUUCGCCUCCUCGAAACUGGUCGGGCACUUGUUCCCCUUGGGAAGACGUUCGUGCCAGAAUGACAUGUUCUCGUCGAAGCAUGCGUCGGUCAUUUUGUGUUUUACCUUCAUCUCCAGAGCCAUGAGCGUUACUUUCAGGCGGGUAUCCUCGGGCCUGCAUCCUUCAUACAAUGGAGUAACCAUGUCUAUCUCCAGUUGAUCCAGCUUGGCUUUCUCUCGGGCGGCAGCUCUUGCGUUAUCCGUCUGCUUGAGAAGCAGCUCUUGAAUAUGAGGGUCCUGCACCUAGGCCAUCGAUGGUCCAUCGUCGUCUGCUCCGGCAUCUUCAUCUCCAUGAUCAUGCCCUCGUCUGCUCCGGGAUCUUCCUCAUCAUCAUGUUCGGCAUCUUCUACAUGAUGACCGUGUCCUGGAGAUUCUUCGUCUUCUCGCCCGCCCUCGCCGCGGUUGUCUUGCUCAUGCCCUUCCUCAUUUCUUUCUCGUCCCCCAUGGACGACUUCAUAAUCAUCUUCAUCACCUUGCCACCGAUAGACAUCCAUGAAACCACGCAAGAGCAGGUGGUCCCGCACCUUUACGGAAUCCGGGUCCAUAAGGCUCUUCAGCUUGCAUCUUCGACACGGACAUCUUAUCUCCGUCUCGUUCUUUUGAAGCAUCUCGGCCUUCGCGGAGCUCAAAAACCUAUUCACGAUGCCUUCGGUCAUCGUGCGGACCAUGGUCACCUGCGGGGUAGAGCAAAACGAUAUUUUAGAACCAAAAAAAAAUUGGCAUGACUUUGCCUAAAAAUAGGACAAAAAAGAAUGCAUAGUGCCAAAUUCUCGCCGAAACGGAAAUGAAUCAACAUUCCGGGAAAAUAUUGGCAACUAUCGCAUUUCAAAUACCAGUACCUGCAAACACAAACAUAUAUGCAACACCACGAACAUAUGCAACACAACAAACUUACGUAGAUCUAGCUAGGCCAUAAAAAGUGCAUGUGCACGUUGUUGGAGGGAGAAAAAAGUAGAUCUACAACAUAAAAGUUUUUCCCUUACUUACCUAUCAAAAAAAGGUAAUUUAACCACUUAAUUUGGGUGAAUCUAUGAUGCAAAUGAGGUGAGGAGGAGGAGGCACCCGAGACAAGCUUGGAGGAGGAGGUGGAGAGAAUGAAAGUGGGAAAAGUGAGUGUGGUAGGUGGCUGUCCAAAAUAUCUAGCUAGUCCCAGGUUACUAAUGGCGCACCACCUACAUAUGCGCCAUUAGUAACCCUGGUUACUAAUGGCGCACCUCCUCUGGUGCGCCAUUAGUAGUUCUGUAAAAAAAAUAGUAGUGGCACACCAUGUGAGAUGCGCCAUUAGUAACACUGGUUACUAAUGGCGCACUAGCUAUGGUGCGCCACUAGUAGUUUGCAAAAAAAAACCCAAUUUUUUUUAUAGUAGUGGCGCACUACUAACAGAUGCGCCAUUAGUAACCCUUUUUACUAAUGGCGCACCAGCUGCUGGUGCGCCAUUAGUAGUUUCGCAAAAAAAAAUAUAUAGUAGUGGCGCACCGAGUGUGUGGUGCGCAUUAGUGUCCACCACACUAAUGGCACACCUCACAUGGUGCACCACUACUAUAUAGUAGUGGCGCACUGCUUGUGUGGUGCGCCAUUAGUAUCUAUAUCAUCUAUAGCCCUUUCCCUAGUAGUGCUCCAGUCUCUCCCACCAAGCUACAAAGGUUUUGUGCUGAACUACAACAUGCAAGGGAUGGAGAAGACCAUUCCCGAGUUAUACUCGAUGCUCAAGUCUGCAGAAGUAGAAAUCAAGAAAGAGCAUCAAGUGUUGAUGGUCAACAAGACCACUAGUUUCAAGAAGGGCAAGGGUAAGAAGAACUUCAAGAAAGACGGCAAAGCCGUUGCCGCGCCCGGUAAGCCAGAUGCCGGGAAGAAGAAAAAGAAUGGACCCAAGCCUGAGAUUGAGUGUUUCUAUUGCAAGGGAAAAGGUCACUGGAAGCGGAACUGCCCCAAAUACUUAGCGGACAAGAAGGUCGGCAACGUUAAAGGUAUAUGUGAUAUACAUGUUAUUGAUGUGUACCUUACCAGCGCUCGUAGUAGCUCCUGGGUAUUUGAUACCGGUGUUGUUGCUCACAUUUGCAACUCAAAGCAGGAAAUGCGGAAUAAGCGGAGACUGGCAAAGGACGAGGUGACGAUGCGCGUCGCGAAUGGCUCCAAAGCCGAUGUGAUCGUCGUCGGCACGUUACCUCUACAUCUACCGUCGGGAUUAGUUUUAAACCUUAAUAAUUGUUAUUUAGUACCAGCUUUAAGCAUGAACAUUGUAUCAGGGUCUUGCUUAAUGCGAGACGGCUACUCAUUUAAGUCAGAGAAUAAUGGUUGUUCUAUUUAUAUGAGUGAUAUGUUUUAUGGUCAUGCUCCGCUGGUGAAUGGUUUAUUCUUGAUGAAUCUCGAUCGUGAUGUUACGCAUAUUCAUAGUGUGAGUACCAAACGAUGUAAAGUUGAGAAUGAUAGUCCCUAAUACUUGUGGCACUGCCGCCUUGGUCAUAUCGGCGUUAAGCGCAUGAAGAAGCUCCAUACUGAUGGACUAUUAGAGUCUCUUGAUUUUGAAUCAUUUGACACAUGCGAACCGUGCGUCAUGGGCAAGAUGACUAAAACUCCAUUCUCAGGAAUAAUGGAGAGAGCAACCGACUUAUUGGAAAUAAUACAUACUGAUGUGUGUGAUCCAAUGAACGUUGAAGCUCGCGGUGGCUAUCGCUAUGUUCUCACUCUCACCGAUGAUUUCAGUAGGUAUGGGUAUAUCUACUUGAUGAAGCACAAAUCUGAGACAUUUGAAAAGUUCAAGGAAUUUCAGAGUGAGGUCGAGAAUCAACGUGACAGAAAAAUUAAGUGUCUAUGAUCUGAUCGUGGAGGAGAAUAUUUGAGUUACGAAUUUGGCACACACCUAAGGAAGUGUGGAAUCGUUUCACAACUGAUGCCGCCUGCCACACCGCAACGCAACGGAGUGUCUCAACGUCGUAAUCGCACUUUAUUAGAUAUGGUACGAUCUAUGAUGUCUCUUACCGACUUACCGCUAUCAUUUUGGGGAUACGCAUUAGAAAAUACAGCAUUCACUUUCAAUUAGGGCACCGUCUAAAUCCGUUGAGACGACACCGUAUGAACUAUGGUUUGGCAAGAAACCUAAGUUGUUGUUUCUUAAAGUUUGGGGUUGCGAUGCUUAUGUGAAGAAACUUCAACCAGAAAAGCUCGAACCCAAAGCGGAGAAAUGCGUAUUCAUAGGAUACCCUAAGGAAACUAUUGGGUAUACCUUCUAUCUUAGAUCCGAAGGUAAAACCUUUGUUGCCAAGAACGGAUCCUUUCUAGAGAAAGAGUGUCUCUCGAAAGAAGUAAGUGGGAGGAAGGUAGAACUUGAUGAAGUAAUUACAUCCCCUCUCGAAUAGGAUAGUAGCGCAGCGCGGGAAGUUCUUCAUGUGGCGCCUACACCAACUGAAGAGGAAGUUAAUGAUAAUGAUCAUGAAGCUUCGGAUCAAGUUACUACUGAACCGUGAAGGUCCACGAGGGCACGCUCCGCACCAGAGUGGUACGGCAAGCCUGUGAUGGAAAUCAUGUUGUUAGACAACGGUGAACCUUUGAACUAUGAAGAAGCGAUGGCGGGCCCAGAUUCCAACAAAUGGCUUGAAGCUAUGAAAUCCGAGAUAGGAUCCAUGUAUGAGAACAAAGUAUGGACUUUGGUGGACUUGCCCGAUGACCGGCGAGCCAUAGAAAAUAAAUGGAUCUUCAAGAAGAAGACUGAUGCAAACGGUAAUGUAACCGUUUACAAAGCUCGACUUGUCGCAAAGGGUUUUCGACAAAUUCAAGGAGUUGACUACGAAGAGACUUUCUCUCCCGUAGCGAAGCUGAAAUCAGUCCGAAUCAUGUUAGCAAUUACCGCCUUUUAUGACUAUGAAAUUUGGCAAAUGGACGUCAAAACAGCGUUCCUUAACGGGAACCUUAAGGAAGAGUUGUAUAUGAUGCAACCAGAAGGUUUUGUCGACCCUAAGGGUGCUAACAAAGUGUGCAAGCUCCAGCGCUCCAUCUAUGGGCUGGUGCAAGCAUCUCGGAGUUGGAACAUUCGCUUUAAUGAGGUGAUUAAAGCGUUUGGGUUCAUACAGGUUUACGGAGAAGCCUGUCUGUACAAGAAAGUGAGUGGGAGCUCUGUAGCUUUCCUCAUAUUGUAUGUGGAUGACAUAUUAUUGAUGGGGAACAAUACAGAAAUGUUGGAGAGCAUAAAUGCCUAUUUGAACAAGAGUUUUUCAAUGAAGGACCUUGGAGAAGUUGCAUACAUAUUAGGCAUCAAGAUCUAUAGAGAUAGAUCGAGACGCCUCAUAGGUCUUUCGCAGAGCACAUACCUUGACAAGAUACUGAAGAAGUUUAAUAUGGAAAACUCAAAGAAAGGGUUCUUGCCAGUUUUGCAAGGUAUGAGAUUGAGUAAGACUCAGUCGCCGACCACGGCUGCAGAUAGAGACAAGAUGAGUACUGUCCCCUACGCUUCAACCGUAGGCUCUCUAAUCUAUGUCAUGCUAUGUACCAGACCUGAUAUAAACCUUGGCAUAAGUUUGGUAGGGAGGUACCAAAGUGAUCCCGAUAUGGAACACUAGACAGCGGUCAAGAAUAUCCUUAAGUACCUGAAAAGGACUAAGGAAAUGUUUCUCGUUUAUGGAGGUGACGAAGAGCUCGUCGUAAAGGGUUACGUCGACGCUAGCUUCGACACAGAUCCGGAUGACUCUAAGUCACAUACCGGAUACAUAUAUGUUUUUGAAUGGUGGGGCAGUGAGCUGGUGCAGCAGCAAGCAAGAAGUCGUGGCAUCAUCUACAUGUGAAACGGAGUACAUAGGUGCUUCAGAAGCGGCUCAUGAAGGAAUUUGGAUGAAGGAGCUCAUCACCGACCUUGAAGUGGUUCCAAACGCGUCGGGUCCAAUGACACUCUUUUGUGAUAACACUGGGGCCAUUGCCAUAGCCAAGGAGCCCAGGUUUCACCGGAAGACGAAGCACAUCAAAUGCCGCUACAACUCCAUCCAGGACCAUGUCCAGAGUGGAGUGAUAGAUAUUUGUAAAGUACGCACGGAUCUAAAUGUUGCAGACCCGUUGACUAAACCUAUUCCACGAGCAAAACAUGAUCAACACUAUAAUGCUAUGGGUGUUCGAUACAUCACAAUGUAACUAUAUUAUUGACUCUAGUGCAAGUGGGAGCCUGUUGGAAAUAUGCCCUAGAGGCAAUAAUAAAAUGGUUAUUAUCAUAUUUCCUUGUUCAUGAUAAUCGUCUAUUGUUCAUGCUAUAAUUGUAUUAACAGGAAACAGUAAUAUAUGUGUGAAUAAAUAGAUCACAAUGUGUCCCUAGCAAGCCUCUAGUUGGCUAGCUCGUAAGUCAAUAGAUGAUCAUGGUUUCCUGGUCAUGGGCAUUGGAUGUCAUUGAUAACGGGAUUACAUCAUUGGGAAAAUGAUGUGAUGGACAAGACCCAAUCCUAAGCGUAGCACUAGAUCGUAUUGUUCGUAUGCUAAAGCUUUUCUAAUGUCAAGUGUCUUUUUUUUCGACCGUGAGAUUGUGAUACCGUAAUAGUGCUUUGGGUGUAUCAAACGUCAUAACGUAAUUGGGUGACUAUAAAGGUGCACUACGGGUAUCUCUGAAAGUGUCUGUUGGGUUGGUACGAAUCGAGAUCGGGAUUUGUCACUCCGUGUGACGGAGAGGCAUCUCUAGGCCCACUCGGUAGAACAUCAUCAUGAGCUCAAUAUGACUAAGGAGUUAGUCACACGAUGACGUGCUACAGAAAGAGUAAAGAGACUUACCGGUAACGAGAUUGAACAAGGUAUAGGUAUACCGACGAUCGAAUCUCGGGCAAGUUCUAUACCGACAGACAAAGGGAAUUGUAUACGGGAUUGAUUGAAUCCUUGGCAUCGUGGUUCAUCCGAUGAGAUCAUCGUGGAGCAAGUGGGAGCCACCAUGGGUAUCCAGACCCCGCUGAUGGUUAUUGACCGGAGAGGUGUCUCCGUCAUGUCUGCCUGUCUCCCGAACCCGUAGGGUCUACACACUUAAGGUUCGAUGACGCUAGGGUUAUAGGGAAUUGUUAUACGAGGUUAUCAAAAGUUGUUCGGAGUCCCGGGUGAGAUCCCGGACGUCACGAGGAGCUCCGAAAUGGUCCGGAGGUAAAGAUUGUUAUAUAGGAGGGAUGGUUUCGGACACUAGAAGUGUUUCGGGCAUCACCGGUAACAUACCGGGACCACCGGGACCACCAGAGGUGGCCCCGGAGGUCCACCGAAGGGGGGCAACGACCCCGGGAGGCUAGAUGGGCCAAGUGGGGAAGGGAACCAGCCCUUAGGUGGGAUGGUGCGCCCCCCACUCAGCCCAUGGCGCAGGAAGAGGGGAGAGGGNCCCUAUAUAUAAUGGGCACUUUUGGCCAUUGGGGAACAGACUUUUGCCUCUCCCUCGGCGCAGCCCUGCCCUUCUUUCUCCUCCUCUCUGCCGGUGCUUGGCGAAGCCCUGCCGGGAGACCUCGUCUCUCCAUCGACACCACGCCGUCGUGCUGCUGGAGUUCUUCCCCAACCUCUCCCUCCUCCUUGUUGGAUCAAGGUGCGGGAGACGUCACCGGGCUGCAUGUGUGUUGAACGCGGAGGUGCCGUAGUUCGGUACUAGAUCGGAAUCACACCGCGAUCUGAAUCGUCGCGAGUACGACUCCAUCAACCGCGUUCUAGUAACGCUUCCGCUUAGCGAUCUUUAAAGGUAUGAAGAUGCUCUCACCCCUCUCUCGUUGCUGGUCUCUCAAUAGGAAGAUCUGAAUAUGCGUAGGAAAAUUUUGAAUUUAUGCUACGUUACCCAACAGUUUUACCACAGUGGUGGUGCAUGUCUUCGGAGAUGUUGUUCCACUCUGCUUGCCCGAGGUUUGGGAUGGUGGUUGGCUGGUUUGAGGUGGGUGGUCGAUGGUGGUGGUGCGCCUGUUCUGGGGUCGACGAUGAUGUGUGUCGUGCUCGAGUGCUCCUGGUGCAUCUCUACUUGACGGUCCCUGCGGCUACUCUCUUGGCACACAGGUGUCGUGGCGUCGUCUCGGCCUUGCGUGGACUUUGACUGUGCCUUGCGAUGCAGGUCCUGUGUCCCGGCGUUGUGCAAUCUAGGCUUGUGAGGUGCCGUUGGAUUGUGUGGACGAUGCAAUGUUGUGGUUUGGUCUGGCUGGCCACUGUUGUGGUUUUCUUUUCUUUCCAUGUUCUCCCUUUACGUGUGUUGUCCGCGUCCGUUUUUUUUUGUUUGUCCCUUCUUUCUUGUGUCCCCUGUACUUCUGGUUCACUUGAACCCUAUCUUGUAUUAUUAGGCUGCAAUUCAGGUGGAGGUGCUUUGUUCCAAAUGCAUAUUUGUAGGACUCUAAGGCCUAUUUAUUCUCAGGCUAAGCAUGUGCUAAUGUUCUCUCGUCUUCUUUGUACCAUGCGGAGAAGACCCUCCGGUUUUGGCUUUGUUGCACGAAAGGGAAGACCAAUGAAGAUAGGAUGUGGCUUGAUCUUAGUGGACUUUGUGUGCCAAGUGAUGUCAUCAUGUUUUUCUUUUUCUUUUUUCUAGAUCCUGUGUUUUGUAGUAGAUGAAUAUAUUUGCUGAUUUUUCUGCCGAGUCCAAAAGCAAACAAAUUACGUAUAGAUAUAGCCAUGCACAUGCACGCUCGAUAGACAUGCAACUGCAUUUGCACACGGCCGGUGAAGAAGCAUUUGCGCACGGCCGGCAGGAUUUGCACGCCAGUUGAGCGAUGGGCAUGCACUCGCCCACGUCUGACAGGGAAGUUGCAUGUCUACGUGCCGACGUGCGUACCUGGAGGCUGGUGCAAAUGUGUACUGCACGAUCUGGCCGUACUACCUGAGACUAUCCACAAUGAAAGUAACAUAGGUAGUAACAUAGAUGUCAUCUAAACAAAAAAUAUGAUGUGAUAACUAAUUAAUGGGAAAAGAGAAAAAUUAAAUAACUUAGCAUGUUACUCAUACUAGGAAUAACAUAACGGAUAUAUACCAAGGCAAGAUGAGUCUAUAGGCUAAAAAAAAUGAAAGGCUCAAUGUUAUUACCUUUAUGUUACUAUUCACUAUGGAGGUAGUAACUUAGAGGGUGCUUGGAUCCAAGGAACUAAAACUAGUUUGACUAAAAAUAGUCUUUUUAAGAGGCUAAAGUUCCAAGCACCCCUGACUAAAGAGGGGCUAAAACUAGUCUUGAGGCUAAUUUUUUUUAGUCAGGGGUACCCCUACUAAAAUAUGAAUUAGUCCUCUCUCUCCUCAUUUAACUCCUCUCCUUUAACACAUACGAGUUCUGGAUUGGAGGGUUUGAAGGAUAAUAAAUGCUCAUUAACUUAAUUUUAGUCUUUUUAGUAUUUGGAUCCAAGCAUGGGUGAGGCUAGCAAGUUUUAGUCCCACUACUUUUAGUCAUGGGACUAAAACGUAUAUAAGCACCCUCUUAGACUAGUAACAUGUGUAUGUUAUUACUCUAUGUUACUCCCCAUUGUGAGUAAAAAAAAUUGAAUGGCAGGUGCUCUGCCUUUUCAUUAAAUGAGCAGUCGUCCAGUGGACUCUGCCUGUACAUAAUAAGGGGUCUACAGCGCUAGUCUUAGAAAAUCAAGGUCAGCUUUAAUUAGAGAGGUCACACCAUCCGCCGAGGUAGAUUUAGCGUUGAAGAUCCGUCUGUUCCUCUCGUUCUAGAUGUGCCAAGCAAAGUAAGCAGCAGCAACGACCUGCUCUCUGGUGUUCUGGGAGCAAAUGCGCCACCAUUGUGAUAUCGACUGAAGGUGUGCUGGCUGUGUUGGAUAGCACAAUGGGUGUGCUAGGUGUAGUCUGUUCCAAACCCCCAUGGAGAAAAGACAUGUGCUGAAGAGGUGAAGAGCAGUUUCAGGGAGCUGGCGGCAGAGAGCACGUCGUGGUGUGAUCACUUCCAUGUGCUCUCAACCUGUCAGUGGUUGGUAGUCUGUUUUGAGCCAAAGUCCAAAUGAAGAACUGCACCUUUCUUUCAAUCUUGAGUCUUCAGAUGCGGUUAGCAUCAGGUUUGGCGACAGAGCCAAUGGACUGGCAUGAAUAUGCGGACUUGGCGGUGUAACUAUUGUUCUUCGUCCAGAUCCAAGCGAUGGUAUCUCUAGUUUCAGAUAAGUUGACAUUCUGAAUCUUCUCCCAUGGAAGCAGAAAGGAGUGCAGGUCAUCAUGGGAGUUGAUUCAUUCCAAAAUAAGUGUCUUAACUUUAUACUAGCUCUAGUACAAAAUUUCGGAGGUGCUACAGAUGGUUAAUAGACAAUCUAUCAUAGAGUUGCUCAAAAAAAGGAAAAACUACAAUCUAUCAUAGAAGAUGUUUCUACUCCCUCCGUUCCAAAAUAAGUGUCUUAACUUUAUACUAGCUCUAGUAGGCUGGUCACAAUGGAGAGUAACAUAAGGUAGGAACCUACACGCUUUCCUAGACUAUGUUCCUACCUCCACAAUGGGGAGUAACAUGUAUGUAGUGUCAUGCAACAAUGCAUUUAUUACGCUAUAGACUCAUUGUUUCUUGGAGUGUGUGAUGUUCCGGUAACUUAGCUAGUUACCACAAGCACCUCUCUCUUCACUAAAUACGUGCCACAUAAGCAAAGUUGUAUUGGAGUGUGUGAUGUUACUGCUAAGUUCCUCCCCAUUGUGACCAGCCGUACAAAAUUGCAUUAAGCUUAAGACACUUAUUUUAAGACGGAAGGAGUAUUAAUUACUGUCUAUAAUUGACGUGAAGGAUUGUUACAGACCGUCACGGCGUCACCGGCUCCAGGAAGUGGCGCCACGUACGCGGUAUCUAGCUAGCUCGCCGCGUCAACGCGUUGACAUGCACUGGGUCGUCACGCUAUGUAUACUGAGUACGGAACAUGGAUAUGCGCCGCUAGUCUCGCCGUAGUUGGCAAGUUGCGCUAAUUGCACCAGCUCUACGUCGGCAACAUGCAUGGUGGAUUGACGACGACGCGAUGAGAUGAAGGAAGAAGAAAGAAUAUGGCUACGUAGAUUAGUGAAAGUAGCAAAAAAACCCGUGCGUUGCAACGGAAGAGAAAAUAACACACGCUUUGAACACAAUAUAUUUUCAUAUGGCAUCACAUUUGUGUUGCCGACGAUGGCCUCAAUGCUCACACAACGAAAACGCGUUUGAAUGUACAAUCACUCGGAAUAAGAUGAGAAAUAUGUUGUUUCUCCCCACAAGAUUUUCCAAAGGUGUGCAUGUGUGGUUAACGAUGUUUUCUUUCCUCUCAAUUUAGUUUUAAUUUAAUGGAUAUUUAUUGCAAUUCGUAUGGUCGCCGGAAAGAGAGAAAAAAAAGGACCAUGCACUACAGAUUAAGUUUGCACCAAAAAUAAUAUUUAAGAAGUAUUUAACAGCUAAAAAUAACAUCCUAUUUAGACUCUACACAUUUUUCAAUCAAAUUUCAUAUAUAACAUGUUAAAAUCGGAGUUACGGUUUAAAAGAUAUGGAUAAUUUUGUUUUAGAUAAAAUAUGGAUUGAUUAACUGAAAAGUGAGGUUUUUUUUGUUAAAACAAAAAAACGUUUCGGCUGACUUAAAUAAGGACGGCGGGUUGAUUACCUGAAACAUCAGGGAGUUUUUUGAAAAAUGAAAAGAACGGUUCGGCUGUGACUACAAGAUGGACCGCGGGUUGAUUAUAUAAAACUGUGAGGGCUUUUGUGCAAAAUGACAGAAAACGGUUCGUUCUGACUUACAAUUGGAAUGUGGGUUAAUUACCUAAAACUGCGAGGGUUUUUCUGCAAAAUGACCGACGACGGACAACAGAAGCGCUGCGCGCUUUAUUAUUAGGGGAGAUGUGGACCGACAGCUAGCUUGGACGUACGGUAGCUAGCUACUGGCCUAGUGCAUGCAUAUACAGUACAAAAUACAAAUACAAAUACUACUACAUGGAGGAAGUACAUAUAAGAGAUAUGCUCUCACAUCAUAUUUGUGUCUUUGUUGGAGAAGAGAGGAUAGGAGAGAGAGAGAGAAACGGGCUACAAUAUAUCCGGCUGUAACCCGUGCUCCAAUACUCUUUGUGAGAGAAAGAGAUGGAUCAUGUUUUAAUGUUAUAUCCUACUAAUAUCACUAACUAUUGUAUGAACGGUUUAUUAGAUUGCUUAUAACUAGCAAAAGGACCCGUACGUUGCAACGGGAGAAAAAAAUACCACACGUUUUUAAUCUUUUUAUAAUCAUUUUGAUUUAUUAAAAUAAUAAGCUAACUAACUAAUGUAGUCAGUCAUAUCCUAUUUUAUUGAGAAAUCAACCCGUUCAUUGUUAAUUCCACCAUGAUGAGAAAUUGAGUGGGACAAGCAAAGCAAAACAAAGAGGCUACGUGAAUUGAUCAAUGGACUGUUAUCUUAUUUCACUCAUGUGAUAGAGAAUGUGGGAUCAGAUGACAAACUGAAGGUGGUGUUCCAUUCUCUCUCUCUACAACAAUGCAAUCUUACAUUCAAUGCAUUUAUUCAUCAGCAAACAAAUUCUCACAAAACAAAAUUUCUUGUCGGUGCUUGGCACACAGUUAGAGGCAAAGGGAGGGAUCUCAUUAGAUGAUGAGUACCUGCCGGAGGAGGGGAUACGAUGAGGGGAGCAAAGGGUUAGGCGCCUCUAUCUGGCCAUAAGGAGUCGCCGUUGCCGCGCCAUAACCUCGGAGUUCCCCGUGUGAGCCAUGGAGGCAUGCCUCCACCUGCAAGUACUUCGCUCUGCCGCGCCUUAUCCGUGUGCCGCCGUCGUUCUGCGUCGAGCAGACGCAUUAUCCCAAGUCGCUGUAGCUGUCGCGUUGAUUUGAUCCAGAAGCUGUGCUCGAGCGCCGAAACAGGGGCAGCAAGCGGGCACAGGCAGCGGUGGCGGUUGAGGUCGGCCGCGGCGGCCUGGGCACAGGCCAGGGUGGCCCAGGGUCGACGGGAGGAGGCGAUGCGUACGUGUAUAAUUUUUGCAGCGAAUCGUUUUUUCCUUUUCGUUGCAGAUAAAUGAUGAAGCACGGGUUGAAUAAUAAAAAUUACAGGUUUUUUUUAUUAAAAUGUCGUGGUGGGUUUUUCGACGGAAGCAAUAGCCGCUUUAUUAUUAGGGGUAUAGAGGUAUAGAUUGAGAUGACAACUUCAUAUAGCGGCUGGCGGCUGCCAUGCUCAUGCAUGCUCUGCAUUGCAUGCAUGUUUUAUGUAUGGGAUGGGACGCAUACAAACGUACGUACGUACGUACGUGCGGGCGAUCGACGCCAUUGACCAUCCCACAAUAAUCCUCUCGCGGAAGCGUCGAGAAAUUUGCACCACGGUAGCUUAGCAUGGAGAAACAGCCAGGCCGGAAAGCAUGGCUGGCUAUGGGGUUCCCACAUUCUCACGUCGAUCAAACCGUAAGUAACUCUCUCGGUCACCUCAAGGCCUGGCCUGACUUGAUUAAUGCAAGUGUGCAUGCAAUAAUGACCGUCUCGUGGUCGACCGCGGUGCACCCGUGCACACGCUUCUCAGGUAAGAAAAGCCGCCACUGACCACCCCCAUUGCUGGCCCGGCACGUACCCUCCUGCAGCUUUGCCUCUAGCUAGCUAGGUCAACUCCCCCCAGCUCUCAUUCACGCAUGGCGCCCAGCAGCUGCUAUAAGCCUAUAAGACACCACCAGCAUCAUCACCAUCACAAACACAACCACAACCAUCAACCCAGCAGGCAGCAGCACCCAACAAGUCACUAGCUAGCUAGCUUGUGGAGCGAGCCGCAGCUAGCAAUGGCGGUGCGGUGGCCGUCGACCGCCGUGGCCGCGCUGGGGAUCGGCGCGAGCCUCCUUGUCCUGUGCGUGCUCAUGGCGUCGCCGGCGUCGGCCCAGCCGCCGCCCAAGGCGGUGCCCAGGGUGCCCAAGGGCAGCAACCUGGUGGUGAUCAAGCCGCAGUUGGGGAGGCGCAACAGCCAGUUCACCUGCACCGACACCAAGAAGAAGCGCCCCGGCUGCCAGGCCACCUGCCCCAACCGCUGCCCCAAGGAGUGCCUCGUCAUGUGCCCGUCCUGCAUGACCUUCUGCCGUACGUGCUUCAUCACAUCACCCUCGCUUCAAUCCUCCUUCAUGUUUAAUUAAGGUGCGACGACUAAGUCUCAGUCGAACCAACACUUAACCAAGAAUCCGGUACGUUGGAAGAUCUAUAUCGGCAAAUUUAAGUCAAUCCGGUACGUCAGAUCUAUAUCGAAUGGCUGAUAGAGUGGACUAAGUUACAGUAAGGCUUGGCUUCAUCGAGUCACUGAAGCUGCGUCCAACUAGGUUUCACUCGAACCAGACUUAACCAAGAAAUGACAUAGUGUUUGAAAAAUGAAUUAUUAUCUUUUACACUCAACCUUGAAGUAAGAUCUCAUGAAUAUAGCAUCGGCCGAGACAUAAUUAAGUUUGAGUUGGCUGAGAUUUUAUCUAGGAGUAUAUAUGUAAGAUCUUCUUGCAUGGUGUACAUUUUGCAGUGUGUGACUUCUACCCAGGAGCGUCGUGCGGCGACCCGCGCUUCACCGGCGGCGACGGCAACAACUUCUACUUCCACGGCAAGAAGGGCGAGGACUUCUGCAUCCUCUCCGACGACGACCUCCACAUCAACGCCCACUUCAUCGGCAACCACAACCCCUCCACGAGCCGCGACUUCACCUGGAUCCAGGCCGUGGGGGUCCUCUUCGCCCACCACCGCCUCCACCUCGGCGCCGUUCACUCAGCUCACUGGGACUCCGCCGCCGACCACCUCGACCUCGCCUUCGACGACGAGCGCGUCCACCUCCCGCUCGCCGACGGCGCGCGCUGGUCCUCCGCGUCCGUGCCCGGGCUCUCCAUCACCCGCACGU